rnacentral:rRNA from 1 species
CUUACGACCAGGGCUACACACGUGCUACAAUGGCGCAUACAAAGAGAAGCGACCUCGCGAGAGCAAGCGGACCUCAUAAAGUGCGUCGUAGUCCGGAUUGGAGUCUGCAACUCGACUCCAUGAAGUCGGAAUCGCUAGUAAUCGUGGAUCAGAAUGCCACGGUGAAUACGUUCCCGGGCCUUGUACACACCGCCCGUCACACCAUGGGAGUGGGUUGCAAAAGAAGUAGGUAGCUUAACCUUCGGGAGGGCGCUUACCACUUUGUGAUUCAUGACUGGGGUGAAGUCGUAACAAGGUAACCGUAGGGGAACCUGCGGUUGGAUCAC